GGUGGGCUAGGGCUUGAGAGAAGAACAGCAAUCCAGAAAUGAAGGGGAAAUGCUAAUGAACAGCGCUAAUGAGGGACAGUGGCAGGAAAGAGGGAAUGAGUUGAUGACCCAGUGGUAGAGGAACAAGGCGAAUGGGGAAGAAGUCAGGGGCCCCAGCCUUCCACUGUAUCCACCUCCCAGAACGAAGCCUAUCUCCUGCAAAGCAGUCCUCCAAACACAGGAAGCAAGAACUUCACUCCCUGGAGUCUUCCUUUGCCAUCCAGACUAGCAGAGGUCAGUGACUCUAGCCUCAGGGGAAUUAAACAAACCUACAGCAAGGAUUUUAUAGGAAGAGCCAACUUGGAAAUCCUGCUUUUUCUCUCUCUGAGAGCGGUAUUGUGGCACUGAGGAGAAUGGAGACCAAAUUUGUGGCAUCCUGUCUCAAAAUCUUCCUCCUCAUCUACUGCUUUGGCUUUUGGAGCACUGGGGUUAUCUUGUUGGUCUUUGGAGUCUGGGGAAACCUCACUCUGGGCGUGUAUCUCUCUCUUCUUGCCAUAGAUAUUCCCGGUGUGCUCAUUGGAACUGGUACCAUGAUUAUCAUUUUUGUUUUUUUUGGAUGCUUUGCUGCAUGCCGAGGAAGCCCAUGGAUGCUGAAACUGUAUUCUCUGUUUCUGUUACUGGUGUUCCUGGCUGAGCUUGUUGCUAGUGUCUCAGGGCUUUUGCUUCACCAUGAGAUCAAGAACAAAUUCCUGAAGAUUUAUACCAAUGCUAUACAGAAUUAUAACAGCAAUGAUAGGAAGAGCCAGGCAGUGGACCAGGUGCAGUAUAAUCUGAUGUGCUGUGGUGUGAAGAACUACACAGACUGGAAUGACAACCCGUACUUCCUGAAUCAUGGUAUUCCCCACAGUUGCUGCAAGGAUGAAACUGACUGCAAUGCCAAGGAUCUACAAAAUCUGACCGCAGCUGCCACCAAAGUUUACCAAAGGGGCUGCUAUGAUCUGAUGGUAGGUUUCUGGGAGGCAAACAUGGCCAUCAUAAUUGGAAUGCUGUUUACAGUCACAUUUUUCCAGCUGAUUGGCGUGAGGUUGUCCUGUUGUCUGUCUCGGGUCAUCAUAACCCAACGGUAUGAGACAGAGUGUAAAGUUUUACAAGAGAAAUAGAGAAAGAAGCCUGUUUCCAAGGAGAACUACUACAUCCUCUGAAAGACUUGCAAAGACCAUUAGUGCACAGAACUCAUCUGCCCUGCUCUCAUGGCUGUCUUCCUCAGGGCCCAUCCCAUACAAGUUGCUGGUACUCCUACCUGAUCUCUGCUCCAACUUUUAGACCACAUGAAGUGUCCUGUUCAUCUCAUGAAGCCCUGCUGUGUUAUACAGUGUAACCACCUGCAGCUAGUCAUAGUGAACCCCACCCUAUGGCCCUGUGUGUGCAAGUUCUUCCUCAUGUAUUGGGUCCAAAUGCAGGUUAUUGUGGGAGACUAGUUAUCACAUCAUCACUGGCUUCUUGUGGUCCUGCAUAAAGUAUGGGAAGCUGCUAUCCUUUUAUCAUGGUCCAUAAAUGCCACACACCUUUCUAG